GAUGAAGAACGCAGCGAAAUGCGAUACGUAAUGUGAAUUGCAGAAUUCAGUGAAUCAUCGAGUCUUUGAACGCACAUUGCGCCCCCUGGUAUUCCGGGGGGCAUGCCUGUCCGAGCGUCAUUGCUGACCUCAAGCACGGCUUGUGUGUUGGGCCCCCGUCCCCCUCUUUUUAGGGGGGGACGGGCCCGAAAGGCAGCGGCGGCACCGUGUCCGGUCCUCGAGCGUAUGGGAAGCAACUCUUUUUGUCACCCGCUCCUGUAGGUCCGGCCGGCGGCCUGCCCAACCCUCAAUCAAUCUUUUUAACCAGGUUGACCUCGGAUCAGGUAGGGAUACCCGCUGAACUUAAGCAUAUCAAUAAGCGGAGGA
rnacentral:misc_RNA from 1 species